rfam:Pteropus alecto contig94480, whole genome shotgun sequence.
GUCUAUAGCCAUGCUACCCUGAACAAGCCCGGUCCCGUCUGAUCUCAGAAGCUUAGCAGGGUUGGGCUUCAUUAGUACUUAGAUGGGAGACCACCUAGGAAGACCAGGGGCGGUAGGCG